rnacentral:rRNA from 1 species
CUACGGGUUGCUGCAGUGGGGAAUAUUGGACAAUGGGCGCAAGCCUGAUCCAGCAAUGCCGCGUGAGUGAAGACGGCCUUAGGGUUGUAAAACUCUUUCGCUAGGGAAGAUAAUGACUGUACCUAGUAAAGAAGUCCCGGCUAACUCCGUGCCAGCAGCCGCGGUAAUACGGAGGGGACUAGCGUUGUUCGGAAUUACUGGGCGUAAAGAGUUCGUAGGCGGACUGACAAGUUAGAGGUGAAAUCCCAGGGCUCAACCCUGGAACUGCCUUUAAAACUGUCAGUCUAGAGACCGGAAGAGGUUAGGGGAAUACCUAGUGUAGAGGUGAAAUUCGUAGAUAUUAGGUGGAACACCAGUGGCGAAGGCGCCUAACUGGUCCGGUACUGACGCUGAGGAACGAAAGCGUGGGGAGCAAACAGGAUUAGAUACCCCAGUACUC